AUGAACGCUGGCGGCGUGCCUAAUACAUGCAAGUCGAGCGAACAGACGAGGAGCUUGCUCCUCUGACGUUAGCGGCGGACGGGUGAGUAACACGUGGAUAACCUACCUAUAAGACUGGGAUAACUUCGGGAAACCGGAGCUAAUACCGGAUAAUAUAUUGAACCGCAUGGUUCAAUAGUGAAAGACGGUUUUGCUGUCACUUAUAGAUGGAUCCGCGCCGCAUUAGCUAGUUGGUAAGGUAACGGCUUACCAAGGCAACGAUGCGUAGCCGACCUGAGAGGGGGAACGGCCACACUGGAACUGAGACACGGUCCAGACUCCUACGGGAGGAAGCGGUAGGGAAUCUUCCGCAAUGAGCGAAAGCCUGACGGAGCAACGCCGCGUGAGUGAUGAAGGUCUUCGGAUCUUAAAACUCUGUUAUUAGGGAAGAACAAAUGUGUAAGUAACUAUGCACGUCUUGACGGUACCUAAACAGAAAGCCACGGCUAACUACGUG
rnacentral:rRNA from 1 species